AGAGUUUGAUCCUGGCUCAGGACGAACGCUGGCGGUGUGCUUCACACAUGCAAGUCGAGCGAAUGAAGAAGGUAGCUUGCUACUUUUGGAUUUAGCGGCGGACGGGUGAGUAAUAUAUAGGAAUCUGCCCUAGAGCGGGGAACAACAGACCGAAAGGUUUGCUAAUGCCCCAUAGGUACGCAGUCUUCGGAUUGUUUAUUAAAGGAGUAAUCCACUCUAGGAUGAGCCUGUAUCCGAUUAGCUAGUUGGCGGGGUAAAGGCCCACCAAGGCUACGAUCGGUAGUUGGUCUGAGAGGAUGAUCAGCCACAAUGGGACUGAGACACGGCCCAUACUCCUACGGGAGGCAGCAGUGGGGAAUUUUACACAAUGGGGGAAACCCUGAUGUAGCGACACCGCGUGAACGAAGAAGCCUUUUGGGGUGUAAAGUUCUGUCGGCUGGAACGAAAAAAAUGACGGUACCAGCAAAGGAAGCAUCGGCUAACUACGUGCCAGCAGCCGCGGUAAGACGUAGGAUGCAAGCGUUGUCCGGAUUUAUUGGGCGUAAAGAGUUCGUAGGCGGUUAUUUAAGUCUGAUGUUAAAUACUGUGGCCCAACCACAGAACUGCAUUGGAUACUGGAUGACUUGAGUGCGGUAGAGGCAAGUGGAAUUCCCAGUGUAGCCGUGAAAUGCGUAGA
rnacentral:rRNA from 1 species